rnacentral:rRNA from 1 species
UACGAAGGGUGCUAGCGUUGUUCGGAAUUACUGGGCGUAAAGCGCGCGUAGGCGGUUAUACAAGUCAGAGGUGAAAUCCCGGAGCUCAACUCCGGAACUGCCUUUGAAACUGUAUAGCUGGAGUGUGUGAGGGGAUAGCGGAAUUCCUAAUGUAGAGGUGAAAUUCGUAGAUAUUAGGAGGAACACCGGUGGCGAAGGCGGCUAUCUGGCACACAACUGACGCUGAGGCGCGAAAGCGUGGGGAUCAAACAGG